UACCAGCACCCCGAGUGGUCGGGACGUUUAUUGGGCCUAAAGCAUCCGUAGCCGGUUCUACAAGUCUUCCGUUAAAUCCAGCUGCUUAACAGAUGGGCUGCGGAAGAUACUAUGGAGCUAGGAGGCGGGAGAGGCAAGCGGUACUCGAUGGGUAGGGGUAAAAUCCGUUGAUCCAUUGAAGCCACCAGUGGCGAAGGCGGCUUGCCAGAACGCGCUCGACGGUGAGGGAUGAAAGCUGGGGGAGCAAACCGG
rnacentral:rRNA from 1 species